UUUAAAAUUCUCACAUAGAAAAUUUAUAUCGCAUUUAAAAACUUUCAAGAUCAUCUUAAUAUCUCGUAAAUAAAUAUAAUUUAUUUAAAAAAAUUGUUUCAACAUCGUUUCUUUCAAUACAAUUUGAUUAAAAUGCUAUACUUCGCUCUCUUUGUUUUCCUUUUUAUCGAUAUCUUAUUUGACGGGCAAUCAAAAAUAUAAGAAUAAUAUAAAAUAAACAAAACAAAGGACAAACAAUCUCACUCCGAAUGAAAAACAAGGAAUACGCAAGAUUAAACUCUUCUUCGAUAAUAUAAUAAUACUUUAAUCAAUGAAAAUAUAAUGCAAAAAAUCAUAUUUUAUCUAACAGAUUAAUAUUACGCGUAAAAACUUUCAGCCACGCACGAUAUCUCUAACGAACAGAUCUCUAUUCGAAAGUCUAGUAUAACCCGUUAGAAAAUAUAUAUAGAAAAAUAGAAUUAAAUAUAAUGUAUUGAAUCGGAUAUUAUUCGCACAUAUCGUGAAUAAUGAGCAUAGCGCGACGUCACGAUACCAAAACUCUAUUCAUCUACGGUUUUUGUUUUCCCUUCGAAGUUUGCCGUUGAACUGGGCGUCGUUACGCCUUAUGUUUUCGAAAUUAGCGCAUCGUCCAGUUGCGCAGACGCGAGAGGGCGUUCCGACGUCCAAGCACUCGCGAGUUCGAUCGCGCGAAUCACAAGCAAAACGCGCGCGCUGCCGCUGCUACGAAAUCGUUGAUUCUAGCAAUGACGUGGAUUUCCGUAAUGAUUUUUAGUUACCAACGCCAUGUUCGAAGCUUAUAUAACGGCUCGUUUUUGUUCAAUCGCUCCGCGUAUUAUUUGUUUUCGUUUCGAUUCCUGAGAAAUUUUUCGUUUUGUCGGUAUUUAGACGAUGGCUUUUCAAGCAGUGGAUCAAGCGGACAUUGAAGAAACAUUGAAAAUUCAGUUGUUCGGUUUAGAAGCAAUUUAAGUUCAUAACGUUAAACGAGACGGCAUAACCGAGAUAGAAUAGUUCUCGUCUAAUGCAAAUUGCUCGUAAAUAAAGCUCGAUCGAUACCGUAUAUUUUUGCUCGUUUGAUUAACCAAACGUCUCGCAUGGUCGAAAAUUUUCUCGCUUCCAAAGUUAGAUUCUUUUAUUGAUCUAAGAUACACGUAUUUUUUUUCAUACAUGACCAGGCAUAAACGACAAGGCCAAUCGUCGUUAUCGUAUAUAUACGUAUUCGUAUAACGAGUCCUCGGACUUAAUCGUUCGGCGUAAGCAUAUACAAGGUCGUACUCGUUAUCGCUUACAUAUCCGUAUAUCGACUUCAAUCCUGCGAUACGUAAGUCUAUCCUCUAUGCUACUGUACUCGGCGUGCUCACGGUUUUUUGCGGUACAUAAACCGUUUUACUUUAUCAAUUCCGUAUCUCGUCUCGAAAAAGGAAAAUCUUAUCUCGAUUGAAUUGUACGGCGAGCAUUUUGACUUCGUAUCGUAGACGUGCUGAGGUUGUAGGAACACAAAGCUGCUUUGAUAUUGCAGAGGUUUCUUUCGAAGAAGGUGAAUACCGCGAAUAUAAAAAACCUCAAGGUCCUUACGUGAAUUAACCGACGAUUAAAUUUACCGAUAAAAUCGUUCGCCAUUGUUUCGAAUAUUUUUUUCUCUCAUUUUACCUGUUUUUGAAGAAGUGAAUUUUCGGAAGAAGCGAAUGCUCGAUACGGAUUAAUUAUCUAAUAACUAAUCUAAUCUAAUCUACGAGUUGUCACCAGUCACAUAUACUUGAUAAUUUUUCUUGAGUGAAAUGGUCGAGUACGUCGAUCGCCAUCGAGGUGUAGAGGCCGUUGAAAAUGGUUGAAGAAUAGUUGAUAGAAAAAUUAUAUCCAACCUCAUUUAGAUAGAAUUAAGAACGAAUAAUGGUACUUGGCGACUCGUCAUUUCCUCCAGGUUGACAAUCUAUCGAAACCUGAACUUCAUUUGAAACUCUAGAGGACAUUGGAAGUGAGGCGAAGUAACAAGUUCAGAUUGGUAAAAUGGCUUCGAAUUACUUCAAUUAUAAGGGGCUCCAAGUUAAGUGACUCGGUUAAUAAAAAAAUUUGAAACAGAAAUAAAUAAACGUUUCGAAUUUAUUCAACUCGAUUAACGAUCUUACAUGUAAAAUCUUUGUCACGAGAAAGAAAAAUAUUGAAAAUAAACGCCACGGUUAAUCGCAAGAGCAAGUUGUCUUCUCGUUCAAGAGGUUGGCUGGAUAAGAUAAUUCGAUCCUAUUGGAUCCGUUAGAGGUGAAAAAAAACAAAAGGAAGCGGUUUUCUCACGGCUGAUUUCAUACGUAGCCUUAUUUUCUCACGAGAGAAGAGAAGCGCAUCCAUCUUCGCAUCGUCCGACUCGUUACGAAAACGUAGUUUCUAAUUCCUCGAGGGUCUUUGCAGGUGUUUGCGUAGUCAUGCGUGAAUUUCAUGAGGUAUCGGCAAGUACCGUUGCACCUGUUAAUUACGAUCAUCUUCCCGCCUUUAUCACCGUGGCCCGUCGCUUAUUAAAAUUAAAAUUCCCGAUUUUAAACGCUUGUUUAAAUUUAACAGUUGCCCCGUUAACCCUUAACCGCCACGAUAAUGACUCCCUAAUGGAAAUUUGAGUAUCCAAAAGAGCGACGAAUGAAAAGGUUUAUGAACUUGAAAUUAUAUAUCUUGACUUUAUCGAAGACGCUUUACAGCGCCAUAUAUCGAAAAUUGUGAAAUUGUUGCGUUUUCGUAACAUGUUUCAGACACUUGGACAAUAACAAUUAAGGAUUAAUUAAAUAUCACGAGCUUUCAGGACUUUUCCCCCUUUUUUUUUUUUUUUUAAAUGCAAUUGCGUGAAAUGGAUUACGGCCGCGCGAGUAGAUUAAUGAUGAAACGGCGCUCGUGCGAUGGAAAGAUAUUUUAUUAAACUAGAUGGCGUUGUCCGGCGCGUUUCAAACACGUUUAUUAGCAACGGCGAGCUCGACGUUGUUUCUUACCGAGAGAGAUGUUUAUGAAAACAAAACAUAAAUGAAUUCCUCGUGUCAAGGUCUGUUUUACGAUGCGAUGGGAGUCACGCCACAUCUGCUGAAAAAAAUUCACCAAACCUUACGCGUCGAAACCAAGAUUUGGACAAUGUUUAUUAGAUAUUUAUUAGAUCCGAUGUAAUUAUGUUAAAUUGUAUAAUAGCUUCAAGCGUAUAACAAACACUGAUUUCUUGCUAGGCAAAUGAUAAUUGAACGGUAUAAGUCGAAGCUGUAUGUAAUUUUCUACGCGUAAGAAAAUUGUCACGAACGGAAUUUAUUCGAUCGGUUUAACUCGACGCAACCCGGCGCGUCGUAGACAGGGACGUCGGGAAAAAGUUCGCGCUUCCUGUAAGUAGCGUGGGUCGCGUUGAACCACGAUCGUGCGAUUGUAUUGUAAUUCUCCAAGGAAACUGACCUAACAAAAAAGUAUAGACGAUAAGCGUUAUUUUAAAACUCGGGCAGGUACGGAACAACACUCUAUUAACCUUUCGAUAAUAUUUACAUGAUCUCGAUCGAAGGAAAAAUUGAACUUGAAACAAAUUGUAUUAAUAAUAACAACAACAAUCGCAUUUUUUUCCUCCAGUAAUCAUUUCUUAUCGCCGUUUUCUCUACACAGUGAAAUGAAAAUAUAAACGGUCGACGGGAAUAAUUUAAACAAGACUCUUAAGAAUCCUUCUUAAAAAUAUCAGACGAAAUAGAUCGAUCGUAGAAAUUCAAAAAUUGUCUUCGAUCUCCGUUCCGUGUCCUCGCAUUCGCGUGUGAACUCGAAUACGCUUAUCUGGACUAAAACUCCCUCGGUUGUUGCACAACUGUGUCCUUAAUCUUGAGCACGGAGCGAAGCGAGACAGCCUCGGCUUGAUUUGCAUGUACACGCGGGCUGCGACGGCGCCCGCAAAAACCAGGUUGGGGUAGACGAGAGGGGGGAGGGAGAGGAGCAUUACGCAACCAACGAAUUGCGCCAAGUGAAUGAAACUGGCUCGAAUCCACAAAACGAGCCCUUAGUUGCGCGAUGCUCAUACGAAACUUGGACGAAUUUACGAACGGCUACGCUGAUUUACGUUUCCAUUCUUUUUUCCUGUUUCUCUGUUUUCUUUCCUUCUUCCUCCCCCUCUCUUUUCCUUGUUUUAAAAUUGUUUGUUUCGCGUUCGUGUUAAGAGACGAAUGAUGUUUUGAAUCUCUCUCUCUCUCUCUUUCUCUUUCAUUAAACAGAACAGAAGAAAAAGGAUGGAUUAUUAUUUGAGAAAAGUGUAUUUAUUUUAAUCGUAUUUUCUUUUAUGUAACAAGACAUUGAUAACUUUAUUUAUUAUCAUUUUCAAACCUUGCAUGCCGCGGAUAAUUGUGAGUAAGCGUCAUAAAACUCUGUGGCAGGUAGACUCUCGAAAUACUCUCGCCUUGAGUCGAGGCAAGGCAAGGCAAGGCAAGGCAAGUUCGACCGUAGCGUAGCAAGGGACUGGUUAGGGCUGUUAUUCUUUUUAUCUUUCGAGCUCGAGAAAUUUUCUACACCUGUUGUACAAUAAGGUGGUUGACCAUAAGAUGCUUCCAUUUCCUUUAACAGGUGUUUGUGGAUUAUUUUAAAUCCGGAUGUGCAGGUUUUUUUUCCUCGUGUUGAAAUUAGAUACAGAUCGACGCUCGUGGAUAUUUCUUUUCGCGCGCAUGCGCGUGUCCCUAUAUACAAUUUACGAAAUAGACUCGUUGAAAACGAGCCGUCGCAAUUAUCCGUUUCGCUGUCAGGGAUACGCGUUGCGCAGCUGUUGGAAAGUUGAAUGGUUUCUCGAGAAAGAAAUUUUUUAUAUCUGAAUAAUUGAAAUUGUUGUUGGGAAGACAGAAGUGUGGAUGUAUUGUAGAUCCAAGUUUGAUCGCGUGCUGGUUACAAAUAUUGAUUUUUGUGUAUCGAAUAAUUAUCCUCGUUUCGAGGGGGAAUUGAGAUUAGAUAAGCAAGAAAUCGUUAGCCACAAUUGCAUACCGUGAGAUCAUAAUAUGUUACUUAACUAGUCUGCGAGUGUAUGCGCGUAUAUUUGAAUUAAACGUGUAUACACAUUUAUGAGAUAUAAUAAGGAAUUUUAUAAUUUGACGAUUAUUAACUUUUCGAUUAUAUGUAAUUUUUUCAAUGUAAUUAUAUGCGAAAAAGAAUUAGAAAAAUAAGCUCGAUCUCGUUCCUUCCUCACUUCGUCCAAUUAGCGUUUUACAUGGUAUCUUGCGAAAUCAAUUUACAUGUGAGAACUGUUACUCUCUCGAGCUCCUUCUCCAAGCUUUUAUCGAACUAGUGCAUCGUGACGCGUGAAUGUGUCGAUGCACGUAUCAAAAAGAAAUUUCCCUUUUCGUAAUUUUCACACUCUCGAAGAGAAAAUUGUCUGGAGAGAUCGAGUGUUCAAACGUGCCGAAUAAUCCGUAAGAAACAUAAACGAAUAAGCAACGAAGUAAAUUUGAUUUAUUAGCGAAAUACGGAACGUAUUCGAAUUUAAUAUGCAAAAAGAGAAAGUUCGAUUUUCCCUCAUAGUCGUUCGCUUUAGGGCCGCGCGGAUUUCGUCGCAUUGCAAUUUCACGCCGGUUUACAUUUUUAAUGCAAGUAACGAGGCAAAGAAUGUCAGGCAAACAUUUAUAAAAUCAAUGUAAAAUAAUUUUCUAUUAUACAGAAACUAAUCUCCACGUUGCUCGAAGAUUUAUAUAAUUCUAUAUAUAUAUAUAUAUAUUUCUGAAAUAACUCACAUUCUUGUGAAUGAGAAACGUAUAAUAUACGUGUAAUAAAUUUCUAUACAUUUUCUGCACACGUUUAAUUUAAAUUCCGUUGUGAAACGGCAGAUCGUUAAACCUGAUACGAUUUGCAUUUGAAAAAUAAUUGACCUUCUCUAAUGAGAAAACAACGAACAUUGGGCAAAGAUGAUUCGAAACGAGAAACGUGUCGGCAUCCCGAAAUCACGCGCUUUAAAAAUACGCUCCACCUAUUCAUAGACAUUUCCUUGGACACCGUUACAUCGGUUAUAAACAUUCUGCUGGUGCAGCACAGCGCGCAGUGAACGCAACAGUGCAUUGCACUUCUAACCUCGAAAGAGCAUUUGGUGUCUCGGCAAGACGUGCCAAUUACUACGUUGCUCGAAUGUUAAGCGCGCUCUCUUUUCUCUUCGAUGCACGCCCCCUCUCCGCCUUGCUAUUCGAACCUUCUUCCCUCAAUUUUAUCCUCCUUGUGUCGAAAUUCCAUCGUCGAUUAUGCUUCCUCGAUCUUUCUUAUAUUUCUUUAUCCCUUCUUCACCUUCGAGCGUUUAAAAACUGGAAUAAAAUUCGCGUGCGUCUAUAUGCGUCGUACGUCAAAUAAGAACAAGUUUCUUUUUCUCGCUUUAUAGAGAGAAAAAAGUAAAUUUUCCAUUGCACAAAUAUCUGACUCAGAGAUCGUUACGACUUCACCUUCGCGCGACAAUUGUUUCCAUAUUUUUCAAACGAUCCUCCAAAUACAUAAAGAAAUACACAAAGGACGUUCCAAGUUCAACGAAACGCAAAACAAUUUCGGUUGUUGAGGAGUGCAGAGCGGCAAAAAAAUCCAUUUGUAAUGACUUCUUGGGAACGGACGGACGAACGAAACGACAUCGGCAAAAAACGCGCUCGUUUCGAGGAUUGUCGUUCCUUGAGCUCGAAUGUUUUCACAGUCGAAUGUAAAAGCGACGGUUCUCGACGGCUACGCGUAUCUGACGGAUCGAACAGGGGGAAAUGAUCACAGAACUAGUCGGUUAUCACCGGUUAUUACCAACUCGACUACCGCUCGUCUCACGAUUUCGCUUCUUUUUCGCCUUCCUGUUUCUCUUCUUCCUUCUUUCUCUUUCUUUUUUUUCUUUAAAGUCGUUCGAUGAAUACCGGCUCGUCAAGAUUCUCGAUCGUCUCGUUCUUUGUUGUUUCAUCGAGAUAUUCCUCCGACUCUUCGUUUCCGUCUUCGCCAUUUUUCUCCAUCGAUCUUCUUUACCCACCGUGCUUCUUACCAUCGUUCCCCAUCAUCCACCCUUCUCUUUAUUCUCGUUCUUUAGCGACGCGUAACGAGAGAUCGUGUUUUCUUUCCGCUCCAAGUGGCACGGCACCCUGUCGACCAUAAUUCACUUGGCCACGGAAUGCAAAGCAGCCUCGGUUUUCACGUUCGGGAUACGGAUGUCGCGGCGCGGAUCACCCGCCUCGAGGAACAAGAGCUGGAAACCGUUUCCAGGGUGAUGCACCACGAGAUUCGAUACUUUCUCUCUCUUUCUCUCUCUCGGUGAAAAUUCUAUUUCGAAAGACAAGAGGUUGCCUCUCUCUCUCUCUCUUUCUCUCGUGAUUCAAGAUCGAACCACGAUAUUCCCCUUCGCGUGUUCCGCCACACUGACAUUUUCCUUGAUGGUAUUCAGCAAAGGUUCCAGCCGUUCUUCUCGCAUUACAGUUCUCCUGGAAAUCGCGAGGAAAACUCGGAUUUUCUAUCCGCUUAAGAAUCCAUUCCCUUCUUUCUUUUUCUUUCUCCGUGUUGAAAUAGAAAAAAAAAUGGCCUGUAAUUCCAAUUACAGCGACGAAAUUCCGGUUACUGGAUGAAAUCGAGUAAGCUAACUUCGAACUCUUCUAUCCAGGCGUACCAACCGAAUAAAAUCAGUCAACUUGGAGAGGCGGGAAUUUCAAACGCAAUUGACUGAGAUACAACGUUAUCAACACUGAGAUCGUUAUCCUCGGUUGGUAAUUUAAGGGUUGUGUAACCAGUCGCAAUUGCAGGUAUCCGCGUAAACGUGCAGGGAAAGGUAAAUAAAUGUCAAGCUCCCAUUACGUAACCCAUAGAAAAUGCCGUUUCAUGCGUUGCUCGUGAGCACAGGCCGAUCGAGGACAAUCGUGAAAGAAGAAAAUGGUACCGAGUCGAGUCGAUAGGUAAUCCAGCGUUCCUCCUUCUGAUAGCCGCGCUCGUUUAUGUAACUUUGACCGGCCGUUAUUUCAUAAGUGGCAAUUGAUUCAAUUUGGAACGAGCGCGGGGCGCGCACGCGGCUAACCUAACCUAUUCAGACCUCUCUUUCAAAAUGUAAACGAGACUCGUUCCUGCAUAUCUACCCGUUCAGAUUAGACUUACAGAGGAUGUCUCGUAAAUUGUACUAUGAUAAAAUUUAAACGAGUUAUUAAUUUUCUUUGCACAAUUGCUUUAAUGUAAAAUCCUUCUUGAAUUGUAAAAUAUUUUGUUGUUAUUUUGGAAACUUUACUCGCCGCUUGUUUACUCGAAUUAAAAUUCGAAUUUGCAGCCGUGUUCUUUAUUAUUCUCGGAAAAAGAAAAAUAUCUUUUUUCUUUUUUUAAAUACGAUAUGAAAUGUGAUAUUUGAACAAGAUUGAUGGCUGGUUGAUGAUUCACGAGAUGCAUCUUUUUCUUGCAUAAUAGAUGCAGUGUUUUUACUGUUUUUGCGAAGUGGUUUUUGUACCGUGCGAAGAUCUCGUAACGCCAUGGCGCGGUUAAUUAUAAUGCAGGUAUUUAACCAUGAGUCAUCAAUAAAGUAGACGAUGUCUUGAUUGACGAGUUGCAUCAGUUGUACAAACAAAAAUUUUAAAUCAGCUUGGUGAUUCGCGCGUUAAGUUUGUUAUUAACCGUCCGAUAUGUUGAAUCAAUGAUGAGAUAAGUGUGCUUAAUAGAGAUCCACGAUCAAUAAUACCGACGAUAAUAAAACUGAAGAUAUAUAAAUUAUUGAUUCUUUUCAAUAGCUCGAAAGAUUAAUCUUUACGUUUUUAUAUAUAUGCGUAUUUGUAUAUUUAGAAUAUGCGGAUGAAUAUUAUUAAAUUUUAAUAUAUUUGAUUAAAUUAACCGCUUUACAAUUUACAAUUUUUUUACACUUUUCGUCAAAGAUUAUAAAAGAUACGUUAAAGUCGUUGGUUAAAUUUGUUGAAUUUGGUGAUUUAGGAUCUCUGAUAUUUCUAAAAAAUAUCAUCGAGUGUAUUUAAAUAUAUAUAGUAUAGAUUGGUGUGCGAGUUUUGAUAAGGGGAGAUUCCCUUUAUUAUUAUUAUUAUUAUUAUUAUUAUAUACGAUGUCGAUUAAAUUUUAAUAAGGUCAUUAUUGAAUAUUUGAAACGAUACAUUUAAUUUUUAUUUGGAAUAAUUUGCAUUUAAAUCGUGCGAAUUUAUCAGAAAUACGACGCAAAAUAUGAUUACAAUAUAAUUCUCUCCGUUGUAACCUUACCUUGAUUUCGAGGAAUCAAUGCUACACACCAAUUCCAAUAUAUUCGUCGCGAGCAAGAUUCUUUUCUCGAGUAAUGUCCCCUUGUCACUUUUCCGUAGAAUAAAUUGUUGACAAGGAUAUCUAUCGAUACAUCUCGGUUGGAACAAAAGCGGGGCGAAUCGAUACCGACGAGGGCCAUUGAAUUAAAAAUUCGCUAGGAAACACGAUGUACUGAUGAAAAUAACUAGGGGAUCACCCACUUCACUAAUAAUUUACCUAGUUCUAAAAAAAGUAUCUAUAUAAUGGAUUAUAAAUUGAACUAAAAAUAUUUCCUUGAUAUCUCAUCGAUUUCCCUGAUCGUUUUUAGCAACUGAAUCAUCUAACUUCGUCCAACGAGUUAAUAAUCGAUGUAGUGUCAAUUGACGACGCAACGUAUAUUUUAUAUAUAUACACUUUAUGUACAUGCUUAAAAUCUUCUUUAUCGAUCGUUCGCUCUACCUUAUCGAAAGUGUUCCAUGCUCGAGAAAAAAAGAAUCCACUAUACGAAAUAAAAAUCGUUGAAUAUAUAUAUAUAUCCGUUGAUUUUGAAGUAGCAUCAAUAUGCUACAGUAUCAACAUACUGUUCGUCUCGGCAAGUUGGCUUUAUCGGUCGAUUUAUCCGCGUUUUUCGUCCAAGGCGGGAGAGUGAUCGUGUUUCUUCGACGAGUCGGUCGCGGUACGUCCGCAUUACGGCUAAUUUUUGCUCGUUCCACGCCACGGCGGAGCACGGGAAUGGCGCACCGAGGAAAAUUGCUUCGAUGCCUCCACGAUAAAAGUGGCGAACGUGCCGUUGGUACCUGGUACCCGGUCGAUCGGUCGCGUUGCAGUGACUCACUUCUCUCCCGUGGUCACACAUCGGUCGUGCCUCUCCCACACACACGCGCGCGCGCGCGCGCACUUCUCGAACUCUUGCUCGUCACUCUGCCAUUAUUUUCCACCCUGUCUCCGUGCAAUUUCUAAACCGGCUAAUGCUCUCUAAUGCGACGGAUCGAGCUUCUUUCGCUGGAAUCGAAGUUGGAGAAAUAUCUUUCGAGCCAUUUUUUUUUUUUAUAAUCAAUGAGGAUACGAUCGAGGAACAAGUUGUGAGCGGGUAAUCUUAAAUUGAAGAAAAUCGUGGAUAAAAAAUUAUAAUUUCUGAAUUGUAUUAUUGGAUGGCAAUUUCUAUCCAUCUUUAGAGUGUUCGUUGGCCAACAUCGGGUUACGAAACAUGUCGUAAGUUCGUAACAGUUUUGCAGCAAAUUAAAAUUCACAGGAUGGCUAUAUGAAAAAGAAGAUCCAAUAGAAUCUCUAAUUAAUUAUUGUGCUCGAAAUAUUUAAUUUCUCGCAUCCGAUAAAAGUAAAAUUGAUCUCUUUUCUUUUUUUGAAGAUCACAGAAAUUGACAAAUUCUUUGUACAACGUACGAUAUUUAAAUGCGAUAAAAAUGUACAAUUAAUUAUAUAAUUAAAAGAAAUACGAUGUCUGCCGAGACAGACGUGCGACAAACUCUACCCACGAACGAAAAUAAAGAGGAUCAACGUGCGAUAAACAUUUUUUUAUAAAGAGAUUAUGUAAUCUCCGUGAUACGAAUCAGCACGAAUGACCCGUGCCUUGACUGCUAUAUUUCCUACGGUUAAUAAUAAUAACGAUCCGUCUGUAUCUUUUUGUCGAGUACGUGAAUAAGCAGAUUAGUCGAUUGACGAGGCACAGUUUCCUGAAUAGAUAAUUAUAUUAUCUUCUAUUAUCUCGCUGUUAGUUAUGUAGAGCAAAAGUAAGGAAAAUCUCCUUUGAAAAAGAAACAAAUAUUAAUUCAUCACGUUCAGAAAGAGAUUCGUUACGGAUUAUAUACAGGGGAAAUUACUAAUUCGCGUAAAAAUUCCACGUAAGUUGUUCCCGUAACUUUGGAAGAAGAGGCAUCGUUCACCUCCGAUCGAAUUUCGAUUUAGAUCGUCGCGAUACCAGUCGGCGAACUUUCGAACCAAGUUCAUCGACUGGCGCGACGAGAAAGAAUCGAGAACGCGAAAGGAAUAAUAUCAUCGACGGAAACGAUGUUCACCGUCGAACGAUUUCAAAUUUAUCGUAGCACGACGCCACGGAUCGCCAUUCCCUUUCUAUUCUUCCUAUCCCACGCGUGUUUACUCGAAUCGAAACGAUUUUCAUUCACUGCCGCGAAAUUUAUUAAACCUUUUUUCGCGAGGAUAUCUCGUCGACACGAUGUCGUUUAUAUUAUACGAACGAUAUCUCGCAAUGCUACGGUUGAAAUUUCCCUUAUCUCUCCGUCCAUGCAUUCUGCUCGAAAUCGGACGUCUCGUGAAUGCGGAAAGCCUCGAUAUAAUAGGAUAUUUUACACUCUUUGAAAACCAAAUUCUUCUUUCCCCCCGUUUGAACGAUAUUUAGACGAUGCUUGAACUCGCGUCGGCAUCCUUAACCGUAAUGCGUUAUUCAAGGAUCAACGGAUGGAUUAAAUCGUUCCAUAUACCGCGAGUUGAUGUAUUCGAUCGAGUAUUCCGGUCGAUAAACGGGGAAAAUAUUUGCAGAGAGAGAGAGAGAGAAUGUACGAUUACAUCGCCAUUGGAUCUGCUUAACCUACUCGCGCGCUACUUCACGGUAUUUCGAGAAAAUACUUCCCUUCAGAAUUUCGCCGGUACGCUAAUUCCCGAACUUGUGCUUGUUAGAGAAAGGAAGAGUGGCAGCGUCGCCACCGCUGCUGGUGCUGCCGCUGCUGGGGAGUGGUAAUAAAGGGGUGAAGAGAGACGCGAAAGCAGCGGGGAGAUUACAAAGAAAGGGGAAGAGGGAGCAGGGUGGUGGGGAGAAGGAUGGAGGAGACACGGAUCAAAGCGAAGUAGGGGAGUAGUAGUAGUAGCGACGCUGGCGGAGAAACGCAGGAAAGCGAGAUAAUGGCGGAGAGUGGGGCGAAGAAAGCGGCGAGGGGAAUGUUGAUAGGGAUGAAGGAAAACGCGGAUGAAAAGGGUGUGGAGGGGAAGGGGAAAUGCCGCGUGCGCCAAGCACCCAGCCUGGCUGCUGCCUCGUCACUCUUCGAAUCUUUGGGGUUGGGUUGGGUUCAACCCUUGUCGAGGGUUGGUCGAGUCGGACGAUAGACGCGGGUAGUAGCGCGGCGGUGGUGGGUGUUGAGGUCGCGAAUCUCUCCUCGACCGUUUCCACCUCGACAUCCGUCGAAAUAGAACGCGGAUAUCGCGUUCAAUUUGCAGUUUAAGAAUUAACGGGGGAGGGGAGGGGAGAGUCUCGGCUCGGUUUUCCAGCAAACUAAAUUCGGAAUGAAACAAGGGAGGAAGGGAAUGGGGCUUGAUGCGCGACACGACGACCGAUGCCACGCUCGGUCGUGUGUUCCAUCGGGAGAAACAAGCGCGGCAUGUAGAAUUCGCGUCCGAGCGGUCGAAUAUUUUAUGCAUGUGACGCCGGAAUUUCCAGACGAUAUAGCAAUGGUGGGCCUUCCUGCGCACGUUUUUAAACGUGCUUUCGUAUCACCUCCUCCUCUAUUCGAUGGAUUGCUUCUUAUUAUUCCUCCUAUAUAACUUGGACACGAUAUCAUCUCGAGCACGCUGUAACUUCGCAAGCGCGUUUAAAAAUAUUAUAAGAAUUCUCUUUCGUGAUUUAUCGUGACUUGGAGAAUUCUUGUUUCGUUAUUCGAUGAUAUACAAUUGCGCUUCGAUAUUAAGCGAUAUUAUCUUUUUUCCCGAAAACUCUUGUGCCGUAAAUAACAAAGAAACUUGUUACGUAACGUAGUAGAACGUAACGUAGAAGAAAAAAGUGGAACUGUUAUUCUUCAAUCGGCGUCAAAUCGUUUUUCCUAAAUCGGUCGAUAAAUCGAGCCGCAAACCCCUGCAACGUGGAAGCGUCUUUGGGCUCAAAACGGUAACGAAAGAGUUAAAUUUCGUGGAUAUCGAGCCCGUGCCCCAGUCUUGUUCCCUACAGCGACAGCUGGAUCGAUAUAUGGCGACGUUGCCGAGCGUGAACCCUGGAACGCUCGCACGCGCUUCGUUCACUGACCGGAAAACUUUUGUCCGUGACGCCGAGUUUCGUUCCACGAUUCAUCGAGCUAAUACUCGGUCAAUACUUGUGCAACACCAAUUAUGCACAGCAGUUUCCAAGCCCUUUAUAUCCCAGAAACGUUUGCCGGUCGACCUUGUAUUUAUUUACGUAUCGAAAUAUAUCGCGGGCAGCCUCCUCUGCUCUCUUUCCCGCUUUAUCUCUCUUCCCCCUCUUCUCUUUUGUUUCCUCUCUUUCUCUUUUUCACUAGUCCGUCAGACCGGGAUUCCGGUUUUGUAUGCACGCUGUUGAAGGAGCGCUCGAAGUCAAGUACCGGUACUCGAGAUUGCGUGAAUUUUCCGCCGCCAGGUUGAUGAAACAAAAAUAGACGCUUGAUUUUUCCAUCGGCAGCUUGGUCGACGCUUAUACGGUAAUCCAACAGAACCGAGAGCUCUUCCAUCUUUGCAUUAUUUUGAUUAUACCGCGUAUUCGUAUCGAAUGAUCGUCCUUAUAUACAAUCCGUAUUUUCUAAUAUCGGAAUAAAAUUUUUUGAUUGAUUUUAUAGUAAGUUGAUUAGAAAAGAUAUUUACUUAGACUCAGGCGAAUAAACCCAUAAUAAAGAGAAUUUAUAAGUUCGAGCAGAACAUCGGCCAAGAAAAUGACCACCGACGUUUUUAUUUAUCGUCGUUACACAAGUGCCUUCACCGUCGUUUGUCCGUGAAGUUCGCAAGGGCAGAUAUGACCGUGAUAAAUAAAUAGCCAGGAAUAUUGUGAAUGCAGCCGGUUAGACGCGUAUACGUCCAUAUGUACGACCUAGUUUCGCUGAGGAAACUAUGUGGAAAACAUUUUCCAACGGAUCCGCGUUUUGCCGCAGGACUGUACUUUGCGUGGGCGCAUUAUGGCUGUGUACGUAUUACCAACGGUAAAGUAGAAGGGGGCGUGUGUAUAUACGCAGAGACUAUAGAGGUGGCGUCGUUCGAUUCCAUUAUAGUUCAAUCCCGCUAACUGUCGUAACGCGACGAUAUACACGCGUCUUUGCGAGACGGGGCCACUGUAAGCAUCCGCCUUUCAAUACUACCGUCUUUUCAUAUGGAAAUAAUGGCACGAAGGGCGCUCGAAAACAAUGAAAUAAAGAACACUCGUGUCGGUACAGUGAGUCAAAGAAUUUUUCUUUUCUCGUAUCAUUUUUUUUUUCUUUUUUUCUUAAAUUUGCUUGUAUGUACGAGAAUUUCGCAGAUUUGAAUUGAAGGUAUUAUUGUCGAAGAAGAAUUUUUGAUUCUUUCAAUUGCUUUCAAUUCAGAAUUUCACACGAAUAAAUUUUUGUAUAUAGUAAAUUCUUCUUUUAACGCAGAUAAUUUUUAGUGGAAAAUUUUAACACAGCGAUAAUCAUCUGUUUUAAAAGUUUUACGAUGUUACUAAUUUCAUAAGAAAAGUGAAAUAUUUCGUAUGAAAGAUAAUAUAUACACUUAGAGCGGUAUUAAAAAUGUUUUCAAGAAAGAUAUUUUAAUUCUGAAUAUUUUAAAAAAAUUAUUCGGUACGAGAAGACGUAAUUUUGAAAAUAAAAAAAAAAUUUAUAUUUCUUACACUUUAUAACAUGUGCAAUAUUUAUGCGAAUAAAAUUAUCAUAUCGUAUAAUUACACGUUGUACAGUAAAUUUGAUAUUUAAAUUAUUUUAAUAAAAUAAUUCACGUUAUAUAUUUUUAUUUAAUUACAGAAAGUUAUAUUUUUUUAUCUUAUUUUAUCGCGUGUCGUAAAACGUUCCACAUGUAAGAAAAAAGUAGAUACAAAUACAGGUUUCAUCGAAACGCCAUUUCCGAGUUUGGAUCGAUUAUUCGUGGAAAGAUAUACGACCUAAGAAAUGCCAGGGGUCUAUUACUUCACCUUCCUCGAUACAUCGAGGAAACUUUUCUAUGCCUUUGCCGGUUCACUAGAGGUUCUCGCAUUUUUCCUUUCCACUUUUCUUCCCCUUCCCUAUUCUCGAUUGGAAUCUCAUCGAUGGCCACCAUUCCGUUUACGGACCCUCUUGUGUUCCUUUUGAACUAAUGUUGCGUUAAACUCUCAUUUCUACGUGCUUCCCUUUCUAAAAAGAUCACUGAUUUUUAAUCCUUGAUUAUUCGUCAUUGUUCCAUGAAUAAUCUUUCAAAUUUUUAAAUUAAUUGCGAUUGAUGCGGAGAAUUAAGCUCCAAUAUUGAAGAAUUUUUGUAUUUAAGAAAAAUCCAUUACACUUGAGAAAUAAUAAUGAUUUAUAAUUUUUAUAAAGUAAAUACAUUUUCUUUAAUGAAGUAAGCGCAAUUUACGGAUAUAUGAAAAUUGUGAAAUGUACGUCGUAAUUAAAAUUUAUUUUGUAUUAAAAGUGCAUGUUGUACGGAGAGAGUAAAUUAAAAAUUAUUUAUACGUUACAUAUUAUAUACAACAUUGAGAUAAGAAAUUUACCUAUUAUAUUUUCUUGUCCUUUUUAAAUGUUCUCCUUCUAUCUUUACUAUGCUAUAUGUAAGCAUACACACAACAUCAAAAUUGCCAGCUAAUAUUAGUGACAAUUCGGCAAAAAUAAUUUGAUUGUUCGUUUUAAAAUUAUGAGAAUUAGUCAUCGAUAUUAAAAAAAGAUUUCUUAACAAUUUAAUAUUCACCUGUUGCUGAACUAAAUUAUGCUGUUCUUAUCAAAAUGUGAGGAUACUCUAUGUUUUUCCUUUAAUAUCAUUAUAUUUCAGCUAUAAAUUUCCUGAUUUCAUAUCCAUUUUUUAACAAUUAUUAUAUCCAUUUUUUGUCUAAUUAUUUAUAAUGAAGGAAAUUAUUAUUCAUCUUCAGAUGUGUAUAUUUGUGUUAUUCUGACAUCAAAAAUAAUUUAACGUUAUAUUUCCUUUGCUCAUAGAAAAUAAGUAAAAAAAUAAAGAAAACAAAAUACAAAUAAAAUAAUAUAACUCGAUAUGAUUUUCAUAGUUUAUGAUUGAUACAAAUUGCACGUCGAAAUUGAGAAUGGAUUUACGUAAUAUAUUUAUUAUUUCGUAUUAGGCAAAAAAAAAAAAAAAUUUAUUCAGAAUAUUUGAUCAUCCGAGAUCUGAAUCAUGCAAUUUUGUUAAAUAUGUCGAAAAAAACGAAUGUAUUAUGUAUAUUUUUAUGCGUUUAUUAAUAUUUGAAUAUCGAUGUUUCCAGGCUUUGUCGCGAUAUGCAAAUUCGAGUAGAAAAUUACACAAAGGGAACGAUUCGAAAAUAAAUAAUAUUGGAUGAAAUUGACAGAAAUACGUCGAAAAGUAAAGCUUGAUUGAAGCUGUGCAUAAAUUAUUUGAAAUAUAAUUGUUUUUCACAUGAAGUAUUUCACGAUUUUAAUGUUUGGAAUUUUGAAAAAUUUUCUUUCGUCUUUAAAGAAAUUUUUUUUCUUUUUUUUUAUUAAAUAAGAAUCGAGAUAUCAUUGAUAUAUCCUCUAACGAAUACAAGUCCCUACCUGCUAAAGAUAAAUUUAAAACAUAUUCUUUCUGCAAAUAAAUACGUAAUCUUUCGCGAAGUUCAAAAGUCUUGCAGAUAUGAAGUACGAAAUAUCUCACAAAAUAAAUAUUCAAGUAAUUUCUCGAUAUUUAAUGUGCGAUAAAUAAAUAACGAAAAGAAUUUUCAUAAAUAAAUAAUAAAUAAUAUUACGUUUAUAUUUUCCUUGCUCAUUUCAAACAACCAUUUUAUUUAUUAAAUAUUCUUGUAGAAUGAGAAACACGAAUUGGACACGAAUGAGGAAAAUCAGACAUUAUAUUACAAUUGUGUCUCGUUUAUUUACAUAAAUACAAGCUUUGUAAUUCGCGUUAUGAUCGUUAACGAAUCAGAGGUCAUUAUUGGUGACACGUGACACCUCGAUACCUAUAGUUUCAAAUGAAUCGCACAUUGUUUCAAAAUUUAGUGUUAUAUACGUACAAUAAAGAACAAUAUGAUAAUUACAAUUUAUUUUACGCGGAAAAGAAUUUAUUACAAUGUAUAAUUAAUAUAUUUUUUAUAAAAACUCGUGGCUUGAGUAUCCAAAGUUGCAUAUAACCUUAAAAAUUGAGGUUAUGUAACGAAAUUAAUAAAAAAUAAUUAAUAAAAUAACGAAUCGUUGCAAGAUUUUUUGCGUAUAAUAUGUCAAAUUGAUCAAUUACCGAUUAAAAAUUGAAGCAACUAUAAAUAUUUCUUAAAAGCUUACCGAAAAAAAAUUUCCUCGCGAUAUAUAUCGCGAGAAGAAUUUGACAGAUUUAUAGAUCCGGCUAUUAUUCUAUAUACAGAAUAAAUUGGCCAUUCAAGGACGCUUCCUCCAUUAUCAUGACAUCACCACUUGAGAUUUUUUUUUUUAAUUUUGGUAUCCGUUCAAAUUCUUACAUAAUGCGUCUUACUCAACGAAAACGUAAACUUGCACCUCGUGCACGUAUACUUGUUUCAAACGUUUCGCUCUGUCUCGCUUCAUCCAAAGUGCAAAAUUGAAUCGUUCAACGAAUAAUCCUCGACCAAUUUUACACGGCAAUUUUUCAUGUUUUUCGCGUUUUAAAAUUGAAAAGAUCGUGCGUCCUCGAAUCGAUAUCAACGCGGAUACGUACACGAAGGUUUUUAACCCGCUUGCAUCAGAAAUAAGAGAACGACGAAUCGUUAAGUCGAUGGCUGGCGUGUCGUUUCGUAUGCGCGCGCGCGAAUACGCGUGAUUUGUACCUUUCCGGAGGCGCGACUCGUAGGUGGUGACCGAGGACACGGAGGUGACAGGGGUUUCUCUAUUACAUAACGUGGAAGAGAUACGAAGCGAACGUGUGGUGGGAGAAAGAAAGAGAGGGACGAUCUUUUCUUCUUCCUCGAUUCGAAUGGUCGUUGGCAUCCAAAGUGUUAGAACCACCUUUGCGAGCGAAAAGGUUAUGUCUUAAACAAUCCUUCUCCACGCCUCGGAGGCCGAGCUCGCUUAUUUUCUCUCUUUCUUUCUCUCACUCUCUUAUUAUGAUUGCCUCUCAACUGGUUCGUUCGUUCGCUGUUCCUGGAAUUACUCGACGAAACGACCGAUCCAAGUAAACGAAAUAUUUGCGUUAGAUAUCGAUGUGUAAAAUUUCAUUCCGUAAAAAUGUUUUUGAAUUUAUUUAUUUAUUUUUUUUUUUUUUUUAAGCGCGGCUCGAGAAAAAGAUUCGAAAAUUAUUUCUGAUAAACAAGAUAAGAUAACAGGUGGCGCAAGGAAAUUGAGAAUUUCUUUGUUUAAUUAGAAGGAAAUAACGAUUGUGAUACUUCGAUUAUCUUUAUUAUGAAGAAUAAAUCAAAGAGUAUCUUUGUUUUGACUAAUUGCCAUGGAUUUAUAAUUUAUUAAAUUUAUUAAUAGAUUUUCUUUCAAACGAGUAAUAAUUAUCGCGCUAAAAAUAUGUACUAGUAAUAAUUCUCAUUCAAUAAAGUAGCCAUAAUCAUUCAAAGGCAAUAAUGAUAUUGAAGGAAACGACUGAUUUUUUGAUAAAAGAUUAUCUCUGUUGCGACGUAGCAAUUUUUCCUCUUUUGUGGCUUCUAUUGCGCGUGUUCAGAUUAUCUUUGAUAAGUCACUGUACAUUGUUCGUCUCUAUAAAAAUCCGGCUUAUUGCAUGUGGCAAAGUGGUAUUGAAUCUAUAUUUAAGAAUUAAUUUAGAGAGAAUAACGCGAGUCAUGUGAUCUUCUGAUCCACAUUGAUCAGAAUUAUUAUUCAUAACGAAGAGAAGCCGGUUCGCCUAGAAUCACAAUAAACUCAUGCAACCUGUAACCAGACACGAAAUCCAAGAUGUAAUUCAACCCUCGCCGUCUGUACACUGUAUCCAAGUAUUUCGUUACCUUGAUCUGAAGUAUAAGAAAAGACAAAACUGCAUCUGAUUGGUCGACAGAUAUAAAAUUGCAUAUUCAUUAUCUAAUCGCAACGCAUAUCUGCGUAAAUUUGAUUAAUAUCAUUGUUAUUUAUUGCGCUAAAUACUUACGUAAUAUCAUAUCAUAUUUUUCAUUCGCGUAUCAAAAUGCUCUCAAAAUAAUUUUUCGAAUAGAAAUUAAUUUAUUUUUUUUUGUUUCAGUAGUAUUGUUUUCACAGACUACGAUCGAAUCAAUCAUACGAUAUAUUUAGCUACGUAAAGAUACGUUCAUCUUCUAUUUUAGAAACAAAUUUGCGUUAUUGAGUUUAACUUUAAAGUGAGAUAAAAAAUCAUAGAUCGUAUAUUUCGUAUAGUCUCAAAGUGAAAAAGUGAAUCAUUUUCCAAGAAAUUUCAAAAAUUUUCGAGUCGAGAAUGAGAAAUAUAAACUCGUCGGUAUAUUUCUACAGAAAUAAUAUUCGCCUCUAUCGUUGGUAUAUAACAGGCCAAACCGUCCGUCGUUCGUUUUCUCGUAGUUCGAAUUUUACGAGCCCUCGUAAACGCGUUCGAUCUAAUUCUCGCCACGUCACGUGUGCACUUUCGUCGACGAAAGCAAAAGAACCAAAAAAAGAGAAUAAAACGAAAGAAAAGGAAAAAGAGACGAGAAGAAAAGGGAAAGAAAAGAAAGAAGAUAAGAAAAAGGAAAGAGAAAGAAAACGCGCAGCUCGUUCGAAACGGUAUCCGUAAACUGAGGUUAGUUUUCGUUUCGAGUCGUCGUGGGUGGCGCUGCGGCCGACCAACGGGAAAGGAGAAAAGCUGGACGGGCUUCUGUUUUAAUGAUGAUCUAUUUCGGUCGAUGGCAUUCGAACUCUCGCUUCGUGCUUUGUCAGUCAACAGGAAGCAAUAGAAUUUAAUUUUCCACGGAGCACGUUUCCUCUUCCCAGGCGAGGCACAGCAGCGAUUCGAUUAAAAAUAAGGCACUCGUGAGCGGAAAAUUGAACGGCUCUGUCGCGAUGUGCCCACGGAUCCUUGUUCUUUCUAUUGCUAUGUAGAACGACGGAGGUGGAACCUAACCUUCUUCAACGAUGCGUACAACGUCCUGGGUAAACGAUGACUCACGAAUAGUUGCUGGAGAGACCAAGUUUUCGAUCAACGAAGGUCAUGUAUUUUCUUACGUUUCAAAAUGGAAUCCGAUAGAAAUAGAAAAAUAAUUAUCGUUAUUCUUCAAUAUAUUUAUUAAAUCUUUUAUACUUUCAAGCAAAUAUUCUUAACCGUUUAGAUUCAGAUUUUUCUGAAAAGAAACAUUCAAGCAACAAUUUUGUAAUUAAGCGUGUUUCGCAUAGCUCGAAACGAAAUCUACAAAAUUACUUACAGAAGUUCUGUGCAACCAUAACCGUUUUUUUAUUCCAUAAUUAAAUAAAAUAUAAAAGCAAAAGACUUUAAUCAAAUUUCCAGUGAAUAUUUUUAGAUAUAUACCCAAUAAUAAUUGUUGCGCAUAAUUAUGAUUAAUCAAUUUUCUGAAAUAUAAUCGAACGAAAUACAUACGAACUUGCAUGGAACAAUUCUCGAUUAAUUUUUUAUUCGCCGAACAAAAAUAUUAAUUUAGUAUAUUAAUAUUCAAUAUUAAUAUUUAAAGAAUCAUCUUUGAUAGUUCAUCGUUCAUAAAUGACAAUGUUAAAGCAACAAGCGCUAAAAUUAAAAAGUAAACGAUUAAUCGAUCGAUACUUUUAUUUUCUUUUUCGUAAUAAUAAGUCCCUCCUUGACCGCCAUGCAAAACUUAGAACCGUUGUUUGACCUUAAAGUUGAUCGAUUCGUUCGAGUUAAAACUGUAAGUAGAAGAUGCAUUUAUUUGCAACAAUAAUAGACUUCUCGAUUUGACAUUAACUUGGCGUAAUAUUAUACCACGGAUGUAUUAAAAUAAAUAAAUAUUGUCGAUCAGAAUAACUCGGGUAUCGCGAUUCACGAGUUGGCUUUAGGCAAACUAAACCGGAGUUCACGUUGUGAAACCUCGUUCGUGCCUCUCUGUUGACUUUUUCUCAGGGAAAAAAAAAACCACGCGACCGACAACAGUCGAUCGUUCGACAUCGGCCGACCGUGUUCGGUUUGAACGAUAACCGGGGACCGAUUAUGGAUUCAGCGAUCGACCUUGUAAAGUUGAGGCAGUUCCAUGUGGAAAUGUCGAGGAACCGUUUCUCCUGACGAACGUUGUCCAUGGAAUAACAGCUGCCCGAUCGAUCCUCCGUUUGUCAUUUGUCAAAUUUUGUUCCCAGCCACACCAUUGAUGGUAAAUAUCUUCAAAUUCAUUUUUUGUUUUCUUUUUCUUUUUUAUUAUACUUCGUCUGAGUAGGUAGAUUUAGGUAUUAAAUAAACAAUUUUUAUCUUUGUUAUUCUUGUGACUUGUUUAUAAAUUGAGAUAAAUUUCCGAACCAUUAUCAUUCGUUUGUUAUAAAACACGUGUUGUACAAAAAAAUUUUUUUUUUCAAUUUAACGAAUGUAACUGUUUAUUCCAAUAAAAGAAUACGCACUGAUAUAUGCACAACAUCGUUAUUAACAAUGUUAAACGGCUGUUAAACAGCCACUUGUGUGAGUUAUUAGCAACGCUCUACUUACAAUAAUUUAAUAUUAAAUUCACCAAGUAUACUAAACUGAUACAACAAUUAGUAAAUUAUUUAAGAGAAUAUUAAAUUACAUGGCAUGUUUUAAACGUAUAUAUAUAUAUAUAUAUAACUAUCGUUCGAAAGUAUCUCUCCCCUCUUGUUUAUUUUUGACAGGAUGUAAUUUUAUUAUGAAAUUACGCAUAAAUGGAUCUGUAAUGAUAUUAUUCUCCACGGUCAUUGCAUAUUCUAUAGAAUAUUAUGUGCAUACAUAUAUAUGUAUAUAUAGUAGAAUAUUAUUAAGCGAUGAAAUUAAUUUUCAAGGGAUCUCGAGAAAUAUUAAAGCGAAGUAAUUCGUUCAAUUGUGAAAAUAUAAGUUAAAUAUAAAUCUUAUAACGAAUAAUUUCGUUUCUCUUUUCAAUUUUCUUGGAUACCUUUAACGACGUAACAUUCGAAAGUGGAAACGUCUCGAAGAUUUUGAGGUUAUGUUUCCUAUUUUGUUAUAUUUUAAGCGCAAUUAUAUCCUUCACUUUUUUUAUCGAUGCAUCGAUAUAAUUUAUUUAAAUGUUUACGUCACAUCGUUCCAUUAUUGUUUAAUUAACAUUUUUCAUAAGAAAGAAAUUUCGUUACAGAAAAAUACAUAUUUUUUCAUGUAAAUGCCGACGUGGAAACAUUGCAUAUUCACUUCGAGAUAAUUAACAAUUACAAAAUUGUAAAUAUAUAACCCGAAUGCAUGAUAAUUCACGUAACGAACACAUUCAAUCGGACGAAACGAUUCGAAUAAUUCGAUUUCGAAAAAAAAAAAGAAAAAAAAGAAAAAUCACAUUUGCCAUCGAUCUUUUGUCGCGAUUAAACGUAUCAUAGAAAGUGCCUUCAAAUAUUUCCAAAACUUUUAUUCCAUUUAACGAGCCGUUGUUUGGAAACGAAUAUUAAUUACGAAUAUUGAUUACCUCGUGUGUUUACAGUCACAUAUUGUCCCCUUCCUAGCACGCCCAAACGCGUCGUUCUGUGUUUGAUUAAAUACGCCCAAUGGCUUAUCAGUUCUACGUAAUUCCAAAUACAUUUCUGCGUAUUUUUUUUCACCAACAGUUAAGAAUUAUCUCUUACCAACCCAACGAAACGCCUGUUAAUUGACGAAUCGUUGAUUAGAAAAAUUAAAUUUCUCUCGUGAAAUAGGUUAGAAUUACAGAGCAAGAGAAUACAAAUAUACACGUAUCGUUAUGCCUCGUCGAGUCGAUACGAAAAUACAUGGAACAAUCGAAAAUAUAAUUUGUAAUAGAGCAAAAGAAAUUAGCCCCGGAUAAAAGACUCGAGUUUUCAAUGGAACGGAAGCGAGUGCAGGUUACUCGUGCGGAAACUGGGUGAGGGAAAAUGAUACUUUUCGUGAGGAGAAAAAUAGAGGAAAGGAAAGGAAACGAAAAAUGGCGUAUAAAUAAAAUUAAUGGAACCAGUUGGGCGGGUUUUCUCGUUUAAGUGGAAAGCGAAACGCGGUUCGUUCCACGCGAGGUGUACACGUGGCGGAGCGGGCGUUUUGUUUGCCGAUUAAAUUUCGCCGUGUCUGCCCUCCGUGGCGAUUUUUAAUUCGCGGAAUUCGAGCACGUUGACGUGAAAGUUCAGCGUGGUGGUGGAGCCCGCGCGGUUCAACGGCCUCGAUCAAAAGAAACCGGCUGUGUUGGGCUUUGCCCCUCAUUGCUGAAUUCGAUACACGUUUGCUUAAUGGGCAUAGAAAAUUCUAGCGUGACUGGGAACGUGAUCGAUUCCGCCGAUUCUUAGGCAACCGGACAUGUGUGGAUACAGCAUUUCAUCCAUUUUUCGACCCUCUUUUCCAAAUAUCUUUCUUCCCCCCCGGAUCGUCGAUUAUAAUGCAAUAUUUUUGUCAUUUUAUAUACGCAUAAAUAUUUGCAUAAAUAUGUUAUUAUAGCAUUUAUUGUUGCUGUUUUGUUCACGUUUCGUGACUCGUGAAGCACGAUAAUGGAUACAAUGGUGUGGAUGGAAUUGGUGGAUGAUAAGAUUCGCAGCCAACGUUGAUUUGAAAUUUGAAAUUGGAAAAUUGUGUUAAUAAUAAAUUUCUUGCUACGUGGUGACGAGUUUACGGACGAGUGAUAAAUAUAUUUGUUUUGGUAUCAGGCGAUAUAUUAAUAACGUUAUUUGAUACGAGAUUAAAUAUCAUAUUGAUCGGUUAUAGCUCGUUAUUUUUACUAAUGAGGGAAUAAAAUGAAAGAUCGGAAGAAAUUAGAGAUAUUAAAAACGAAGGAACAAAUUGUAUCUAAAAGAACAAGCGAAGGUAAAUUCUGAAACGUUAAUAAUAUAGGAAUCACGUGUCGCUAUCGUGUAUCUCGGUAUUUGUAUAAAUAUUUUCUCUCCGGUAUUCUUGACAUUUUUAACCUCCCAGGUCUGUUUGUCAAAUUCAAAAAUAAUUUCUGAUUACGUUACGAUCAAGCCAGAAUGAUUUUAUUCUGAAAAAAAUCAGCAGCCCUCCCUUUUAUUUAUCUCCACCCACGUACAUUGCGAUCUUUACCCCACUCGUACGAUUUUUACGAAAUCGAAUGAAAUAUUCAAUUAUUCAAUAUUCAAUGUACAUUACGUUUAAUUACUUAUACAAACAAAUAAUACUGAACGUGACUAAAAUAUAUACAAGUUGCUCGUUUUUUAGUUAUUUGAUUCGUUACCUUAUUUUUUUACUCGCCAUCUUUGUUCCUUUAAUUUAGAUUCGUUGGAAAUUUCAUGAAAAAUAUACGCCAACUUUCUCUAUUUAUUUAUCUUCGCGUAUUGCAUCCACUUUUAUCCGUUCGAAAUAUUUUAAAAACCGAAAAGAACCACUCCUCUCUCUCUCUCUCUAAAAUUAUUCAAAAUUGAACGUACGAAAAUUACACAAACUUUCUCCUUACCACUGCUAACGUAUGUAUUUUUCUUAUUGAAUUAAUUUUCCUCCCUCUAUAAUCGUUAAUUUCAACAAAUUAUUAACAACAAAAAUUAAAAACUCUAGCGUCAAUCGAACGAAAGCAAAAUUGCGCGUCUUUCGCCAUUAUCCUUAUUUUUCUUUCCUCUCCUCUUUUCCCACAGAUUCCCCCUCCUAAACGCGUGCGCCUUCGCCUCCAGACGGCCUCCUCUCCCCCCUCUCCCUCGCCCGAGGAUCGUUAUUACCGCCGCACACAUCCCCGAUUCUCGGUGAAAACGAAACCCAGGGAAAAAUCAGCCAGCCAGCCAGCUUUUGGAAAGUCACCCUAGACGCGACGAAGGGAGAAGAACACACUUGUGGAAGAAGACGCGCGUGGCCAUGGAUUGAACGCGGCGGUGAAAUCGCGGGGAACAGAGAGAGAGAGAGAGAGAGAAGGGGAUCCGUGGAAAAAAGGCUGCUCGACGCCGUGGUGUGAACCGGCGACGAGAGGCUGUCGUUGCACAUGCACGCAAUGGCGUAACGUUUCGCCUCGUUUUCCUUUGCUAAAAAAAAGUCCCAGACUUAUUUUGGAUGGAACAACCUUUGGUUAUCCUCGACUGAAAAUUUUACUCGUUUUUCAUCGUUCGUACGUCGAGCAAUUGUAACAGAUGAAGUGUGAAUCGAAAAAAGAAAAUUAUAUUGUCGCGAUAAGUUGAGAAGCACUGGUGAUCUGUCAUAUAUUGGAAGAACGGUUGGCUUUCUUGUAAUGGUUGAAGGGUUAAACGUGAUCUUAUCGUGAAAUUUUUGAUGUGAUAAAAGUUUCGUUUUCAAUAGCGAAUAGAGAAGUGGAAAGGAAAAGUUUAAUGGAUCGCGAAAGAGAUGAUUUCGAAUUUUAUCGUAAUAUCCGAAGUACGAGAAUCGAUGGGAGAAGAUGAUGCAAUGUUUUGCCAAAACGCAAAACAUGAUGCAAAUUCGCUGAUUUAUUCGCACGAUUAAUGCGAGAAUUGCAUGAUAUGUAAGCUCAUUCAACAUCGUUUCAUUGUAAAUUAAAUAGUUCCACGUCAGAGUUAAUUAUUUACACAGUUAGAUUUUUUUUUAAAACAAUUAUUAGUUACAUCGAGAUAACGAUUAUUAGUUACAUAAAUAUUUUUCGUAGAUUUUAAAUUUAAAAUUAAAUUUAAGAAAUCGUUAGAUAUUUUUAAGUAAUAUUUAAAUAAUAUACGAAAAUAUACUAUUUUUCAAAAGUAUACUAUAUCUAGAUUAUGAAAUUAGAAAGAAUCCAUUUAACUUCCUUUAUCUCGAAAAUACACAAUUCUUCUUUCAUUCCCCGAUCUUUAAAACGAUCUUUUCAUACGCUAAUUUCUAUUUACUAUGUAAAUGUCUAUAAAAAAAAAAAAAUUUCAUUCAAUCUCCAUCGGCAAAUGACUGAGAUAAAAAGAAAUCGAGUAUAUUUAUUUUGUCUCUGUACAGGUACAUACUUGCUUUAUCAAUCAAAUUCCUUUCAUUUCAUCCAUGGAAAAAAAUAGACAAAUAUAAAAUAAAACAAAAAUUAAAAAAAAAAAGGAAAAACGAAAUAAAGAGAAAAAUAAAUAAAAGCACAAGUUGCAGAGGACGCAACGAUUCGAUAAAAUCGCCGGGAGCGAGAGAGAGAUUUCAGGCUUUUCAGAGCGCACCAAAACGAAACGCUUCCGCGUUGACGUCACCGGGAGAGAAGCAAUGAAUCUCACCGGUCGGCUGAAUGACUUGAAAUCAUGUUCCGCCGUUGCCGUCGUUUCUAGCCGUGGCUUGGCGCGCGUCGAGCCUUAACUUUGGUUACAUUCACCGGGAGAGAUUCGCCGUUGUUGUUACGGGUUUACGUUUUAAUUGCCAUUCGCCAUCCUCCAUUCUCUAUCUCUCUCUCUCUAUCUCUAUCUCUCUCUCGUUCACUCGCUCGCAUGCUCUUUCUCCCUCUUCCCUGGCUAUGUUUGUUCCGCGUGCUUCAAGGAGCGGGCGUCGGAUAGUUUCGUUGAGUUUCGAAAUAAAGUUUGCCGCAUCGCCUCGUGUAAUACUGCGAAAAAUUUCUCUCUACGGUGUAAUUAAAUCUCCGAUUUGAAAUGUUGUUGUUGUUGUACUAGGGAUUAUACUAUGAUAUUAUCGUCUAGUGGCCAUCAUAUUUGUUCGCCUCUAUUUAUUGCUAUACCAUUUUUUUUUUUUCUCACCUUUUCUAUUUCUCGAGGGGAUAAUUAAAUGAAGUGUACAUUGCAAAUUUAAUUGUAAAUUAUAAAUAUUCAUUCAUUUAAAUUCGAAAUUAAACAUUCUUUAUUUAUUUCACUCGUAACGUCACAUGUGCACAUGUAUUAAAUUAUCUCAAUUAUUUAUGUUCCCUUUUCUGUCUAAUUUAAUAUGCAUAUUUUUGUACCAACGUUUCAUUGUUACCCGUGUUAAUAUUCUCGCAUUAAUUAUUUUCGAUUAAUUUAAUCCGCCAAAUCAACAUUCCUCCCUUUUCACAUUUACUCCCUUUUCUAUCUAGGUCGAAUAAUUUGCAUACGACGAUUUUUUUUUUAUUUCUUUCUAAAUCGGGUUAUUUAUAGAUUCUCUUUGAUAACACUUGUCGAUAAAUACUAUUGAUUUUUCUAUAUAAUAUCGCUAUCCGUCGUUCCUAUUGCUUCAUAUUUUCGUUAUAUUAUUAAUUAUUUUCCCGGUUCUCUUACCUUCUCCUCAUUGUUCCCCUCCCCAGAUACACCUGUACACGAGCUGCUCAACAAAAGCGAGGCAAGAAAACAGCCAGGAAACGCGUACAAAUCGAACAAUGGUUCUGGCGCAAAGAGUUAACGCGUUUACAACGCGUACAGAGAGCGUAGAAGGAAAAAAAAAAUCGGAGUUUCUUCACGCGUCUUUUGAAAUAGCUGCACCUGCAAUCGUUCCAUGUGGAAGUUACGCCACUGGCCUCCCUCCCCGAUUCUUUCUUUCUUUCUUUCUUUCUUUUUCUUUUCCUCUCUUGUUUUUCUCUCACUUUCCGUUCCUCAACGCCGCAUAAGUUUUGCUCUUUUCUUUCCUCGCAUUUUUCCUUCCCACCACCUUGUCUCCGCGCUUGGGAACAUUGUCGCCCUCUGUCCCUCCUCUUCGCAGUUCCCUUUUCUUACCUCUUCUGGCACUUCGUCCGUCUACGCUGAAGGAGGGUUCCUUCUUCACCGGCACCGAGAACUCUCCAAGCUCAAAGACUCGCGCCAUGCUCACAUUUUUUCGCACAUAUGCUUUUUUCCUCUCUUCCUCUCUCCUUCGCUAUUUCUUUCCCCACAACACUUCCCUUUCGUUUCACCCUCUCCUCCUCGUCUGCGGUUUCUCCCCUCCUAGACUAGGAGCUGUUUUCCUUGCUGCGCUGUACUUGUCGCAAUUAAUUCUUAGUGGCUUGUUCAUAUCGAUUAAUUUUGAAAAAAAAAUUUAGAAUUUUUUAUUAGCUGUAUCGUUUGUUGUAGAGUCAAAGUGUUAUGUGCAAAAUUUGUAUAUCGAUAAAAUGAUUAUUCGUGUAACGUUAUUUUGUUUAAGUAUAUGAGAGUGUAAUAAAUUCUUUCUUUAUUUUAAUUUAUUUUAUCCUAUAAUCAGUAGAAGGAUAUAAUUGUUUUCUUGUUAAAAAGAAUCUUUUCUAUUAAAAGAUUAUUUUUCAUAUUUUUUUUUUAUUUCAUGAUACAAUAUUUUUUUAGGAAAAUUAAUCUUCUUACAUAUCAAUUAUUAAUUAUCAAAAAGUAGUGUAUCGAUUUAUUGAUUAAUUUUUUACAGAUUCAUCUUUUACGAAGUAUGCAUAUAUUAAUAUAUCUCUUUGUUCAUCAUUUUUUUGUUUUUGUCACGUGAUUGAUAAGCAUGAAACGUGCACCAUGACACCUUGUGGCUUUCUCCACAGUGCAAGAAAAUGUUAUACGAUAAAGUUGUAAUAUUGCCUGUUAUUACUCUCUCAUUCUUCUACGUCUUUCCCUGCUCUUUUUUUUUUGCUCUUCGAACCUAACAUUCGAUAUUCUUUAUAACUGCUGAACAAAAAUAUCUUCGAUUUUUCUCUUGAACUUUAUUGUAUUGAAAAAAAUAGAAAUUCUGAAAAUUUUUUAUCAUAAUAUAUUCUUUUUUGAAAAUCGCGACAAAUCGCGAUGGAAAUUUUGUGAAAUUUGAUUGGGUUAAAUUAGAUUAGACGAAUUUAAUUGAGGCAAUUUUAAAACUUAUUGUUGAAAAUUAAAAAAAGAUAAAUUUAAAAAAAAUAGUAAAUGUUUUUCGUUUCUAAUUUAUUAAAUUUAGACUAAUUUAAAAUGAACAAGAUAGAUAUAUUUAAGAAAUUUCGAAAUAUUUCGAAAAAAAGAUUCUGUAAAAAAUGAAAGAGCAAUAAAUAAUUUUGAAUUGAUUUUAGGAUUGAUUCUAUAAAAUAAAAUCAAUCCUUGGAUUUCUAAAAAUUAAGAUCUACAUAAUAAUACUAUAUCAAAAAAUUUUAAAAGAGAAUGCAUAAUCGUAUCUAAAGUAAGAAUAUUUUAUUUUUUAUGUUUAAUAAAAUAUUUCUAAAUACUUCUGAUAAUAUAUUUAUAUAUACAAUAACUUUAUAUCAAUAUCUUUGGUACACAAAUGUAACUAGGAACAUUGUGGAAAGUAAAUGAACGCACACGUCCGUUGAAUGCAAACAUGCCUUAAAUUCACGCACCAAUCGGCGCUCAUGCCGUACGGAGCAGAGGUUGGCACCGCGUCAACGACUAGAUACAUCGCAGUCGUGCACUGUACGUGCAAAUGUCUCCUUCAGCCUUUCAUUCUCGUCCGGACUGCGUAUCUGCAUUAAAAUAACGGCACCUCGGCUACGACACAGACGGCAGUCGCCUAACGUGACUCUACGGCUUCGACCUCGAACCCACGCGGCCUCGUAGUCGAUGGCCUGCCUUCUCUCUUGCUUAUAUUAGAAUAGGAGACCGGAUAGUAACGCGUGAAUUAUUAUCGCGAUUGCAUUCGUGUUGAUCUUCGUACGUCUCCUGUUAUUUUCUAUCUCACUUUUCAUUUUACAAACGCACAAAUAUGAACUCAAGAGAUUCGAAAUAAAACGAGUUUCAUCUAAGUGUAUAUCAAAUUGCUCUCAUCUCGCAAUUUGUAUGCCAAGGUUCACUCUUCAUAAAUCUCUUAAUUUCGAUAAAAAAAUAUAUUAUAAUGCUUCAUUCAAUUUUAAUAAUCUUAAUAAUUUUCGUAGACCAAGAUAUGUAAAUAAUCACAAUACGAUAUUGUUCACAAAAAUUUUAAAUAAUCUAAUAAAAUGAUUAUGUACAUAGAUUUUUUUUUUUAAAUAUAUAUACGUAUAUAUAAUUAUGAAUAUAUUAAUUGUGAACAAAAUAUUUUUAUAAUAAUCCGAAUAAACCUCGCUUUUGAGUUAAUUUUUUUUUUUAAAUUUUAUAAAAAUAAUAUAAAAUAUUUAAUUUGAAAAACAAUUGUAAUCUAGAUUCGUCUACAAAGUCAAUUUUUUUACACAACUAUUUAGAUAUUAGAGCAGGUAUAUAAAAUGUAUAAAAAAUGUUUAUGAAAUGAAUGCAAAAAUUAUUUAUCGUUCAAGAAUUAGUUAUCAUUAUCUAUACAUUUACAAUUAUUUGCUUGUUAUAAGCUAAUAUUAACUUUGCGUGUAAAUUGCAAGCUAUAAAAUUUCUUCUCGUGUAAAAUAUAUAUGCAUUUAUUGGCAUUUUGCUGUCGACAAUGCUCUUUCAAGGUUAACAGAAUGCUUUAGAAAUUACGUAACUAUUUUUUAGUUUUUUAUAUUAUUUAAUCAUUAAUGAAAUAUUAAAUUUAUAUAACUAUAAAAAAAAUUAGUUAUUAAAUUGUAAAAAAUUCUGUAGAAUGUUACUAGUCAUUUUAUUAAUCAUAUUUAACAAUGAAAAAUAUUUAUUAUAACAUAUAUCAUAAAUAUAUAUCAUAAAUAUAAAAUAAUAAAAAAACUAAUAUAAAAAAUAUUUAAAUCUAAAUGUUUUAAGUUCCUAAUAAUUCAUACCUUACAUCAAAAAUUAUAAAAGAAAAAAUUUCACAAAAUUAUGUUCUUUGAAUAAUGGGAAAUUGUUUAAUUGCUCUGAAAAAUAUAUAAUUCACGAUCGAAACCUAAACACAUCACAUUGAUACCAAAGCACGAAUAAAAACAAUCGAAGAAUUAAAAAAAAAAAAAGAAUGUUUGAGGAGAAAUUGAAGACGUGUUCGCUCGUAAAUUUGCCGCACUAACUGCACAAUUUUGUUAGCGAAUUGUAUCGUAUACCCAUUGCCUUUUUGUUCUUUCCCGUAUCUCUCCCCCCUUUCUGCAUUUCCUGUUCCUCGGGACUCACGGUUCUCUAUCCUUGUUUUUCUCUGCACCUGGAUCACGUUGCAUUGUUCAGCCUGGCAGCGGAUAUACAGAAGCGAAAUGGCAGAAGAACCUCGAAAGAAAGAUUCGGAAGAAAGGGAGUAAGAAGGAACGAGCCAUUGAACGAAGAGAAACGAACAGGCCAGGAGUUAGUGGAGAGAAGUGGUUGUGCCGGCAAGCCGGGUGGGAGGGGAGGCAGGGUGUGCACAGACGAAGAUAGGGAAAAGACAAGGAUAAACACAGAGAGAGAUAGAGAAUAACAGAAAAAGCAGAAAGAGCGCAGGGGCUAGAGAGGUGUUUUUCUUCCAAAGGGGACUUUGCACGCUCGUCUCGCUAGUGGCAUGAUGCCGUGUAGGAAUCGGCCCGCGCACGCUUUUGGAGAGGGGACAAACGAGUUGUCAGUACCCCGAGAGAGUCGGGUCGCGACGGUGGCGGAGAAGGGAGAAGGAUGGAGCGGUAAGCCGAUAGGGGAACGGAAUGAAGCGGGUUUACGGGGCAAGGGGAACUUUGGACACGAUAGGAGGAAGGAUAGAAUCGAGUGGUAGCAUGGUGGGGAACGCUCAGCAGGAGGAGAAGGGCGUCAGCUGCGUACAGGCAGCUGAAGCGGGGCCAGGGGACAAGGGAAGCGGUUGGAACGAGGAGAGCUGAGUCAUAGCACUGUUGCCACGUCCUCGCCGGCCUCGUUGAUACGUUCCAACGCUGCUGCUUACGACGUUUGCGGCUUAUGUCAGUGUCGUCUGCCUAGAAUGGUACUGUUGGAAGACUUUUCGUGCCUUCUACACGUAUGUUGAAUAGACGUAACAAGCUUGGCUAUUCAAGUUUAUUGGGGAAUAAAGAGACUUUAUAGAUUGUGCUCAAUACUGUUUCAUUUGUUUCAAGUUUCAGCAUCUAAACUAUAUCCAUAUUUUAUUAUUCACAUUCUUUAAAAUUAAUAUUAGAAAUGAUUUCCUCUGUGUAUAUUGUGCAUAAUAAUCCAUUCCAAGAAUAAAUUCGAAAUUUAUUUUAUAAGAAUUAAUAAAUUUCGAAUCUCCUAGAGAAAUUCUUUAUGAUAUUAACAUAUUCGUAGUGGUAGACAGCUCUUUUUAUUCUAUUCGUGGUUAGACUCAAGACAGAAUCACGAGAAGAACGUAAAGGAGGAACGGGAAAAAGUCGAGGAACAAAGCCUUCUUUCUUUGUUGUUAUCCUGUAGUGGUCGUUCUGCAUUGUAUUCCUUUUUAUUCGUGCCGUUCUUCGCAGAAUCGUAGAACCUCUGUGUAUUGUUAGAUCGACACACUCACGGAGCUUGGAAUUCUAAGAUCUGACGAAAUAUAAAGAGAAUUCCUAUUCAUAGACUUACUUUUUUUCUAUAACUUUUUUUCUAUAGUAUUUCCUAUACUAACAUGCUGUUUAUAUGAAAUUAUUCAUUGGUUACUGAUAAAAUAGAUAUAUGAAUAUUUGUAAAUUUAACAAAUUUCUUAGAAUUUGUAACGUAAAUGCUUACGUAACACAGUAUAUUCACGUUGAACAAUAAAAGUUUAAUCGAUAGAUUUUUAUAAUAAGAUUUUCAUUACAUUAAAAAGUAAAUAAAAUAUAUUUUGAUAGAUUAAUUAAAUUUUGAAAAAUUGAAAAAAUUUCCAUCUCCUUUUCUUUUGCAUGCUCAAGAUAUACACACAUUAUAUACAUAUACAGAGAGGGCCUAGGAACUCUUAACCGUGAGCCGAUGUAUUGAUUUCCUGUACGUCUCCCAUUUCAAACGUAGAAAGACAAACGAUCGUCGGAAUGAAUUUUUUCAUGCUAACUUAAGAUUCUUUGGUUGUUCAAAUUUUGUUUCUGAUUAUAUACAUGACGAAGCACAUGUAUGUAUAGUAAUAAUGAUAUCAUCCAUCUAAAAUAAUUUUCUUUGAUAGAAAAAAAUUAUAAAAAAAAAAUCACCAUAGAAAAAGAAAAAAAGAAAAGAAAAACAUUUUUUGAAUAAUCAAUUACGAUAUAAUAAAAUUUGUAGAAAUUAAUCACUCAAAAUUCGAAAUUUAAUAAAUGAAGAAUAUCACACACUCCAAGCGUCUUAUAAAAUUAUCACUAUUUUUCUCUCUAUACACAAUGAAUAUAUAUAUUCUAUUCGUACACUUGUGAAUAAUUUUUUAAACGAAUUAGAUAUGAAUGAUUUAUCAAUAUAUUAUAGAGCUGUAUAAUCCACAUCGAUAUGAACAGAAAAUAUGACUCUGACCUAAAGACUUGAAAUUUAUGGAAAGUCAUGCUAAUAUCUUCACAUAGAAUUCUCGCCAUACUUUGGCGCUUAUAGAGAGAAACGAAAGAAACGAAAGAAUCAAGUCUGGGAACGAGUCUGCCGAAGUAAAAUUCCUCGACAAGCACAGCGCGAGCGGGGAUCUGAAGGAGAAUAUGGAUACGGUUUGCGGCUCGCUAGCCAGCCAGCUAGCUAGCCACCGUGGCACUUGCUUCUUCCCUCUUCUUUCUCCUCUGGCCUUCUAUCUUAUUUCUUCUCCUCUCGUCACUCCCCUCUCACCCGCUUUCACUCAUGUGUGUCAAAGAAAAGAACGUAGCUGUGGUGUAUGUGCGCAUAAAAGACUUUACAGUGUUGCUUCUCGAUUGUGUGCGUCGCUAUAUGCGCGCGCAUCCGUUUCUCACAUGAGAAUGUCAAGAUAGGAAAACAAGGAGAGGGAGGGGGAAGCCGAAUGAGAAUUGGGUGGGAUGAAAGUCUUACAGGCACAACACAACUGCGAUCGGACCUCUUUCGUAAAUGUCACGCAGAAUAAUAUCCGAUAAUGAUAUUGCGAAUUAACUUAUCGAUCUUCUUUCGUUUAUAUUCACUGAUUUUUUUUUCAUUUUUUUUUUUAUUCACUUUAUUGUCAAUAAAAUUUCACCCAUAGUUAUUGUAUUUGAUUGUAUUCGUAACAAAGAAACAAAAUUUCGAAAUAACACUCCACAUAUAUCACACAUUAAAUAAUUCCCGAAUAUCCAUGAGAAGAACAUAUACUAUCGAUUGCUAUUGCAUUUUCGAAGAUACGCGAAAUAGAAAAUAGAAAUGAUUCGCUUGUAAACGGCACAUUGCUGCUAUGGCUGCCAUUUUGUAAGAGCAAUCUUCGAAGAUGCGCAGAUAUUAGAACUUGUUUCUUAUUCGUUUUUUUCACCUCUUUUUUUCCGCAAGAAAAUCAAAAUAAGUCAGAAAAUUAAUUUCUGCCGAUCGAUAUUUUUAGAACAAAUUCUGAAAAGAAGCAACUUUUCUUAUUGCACAUAUAAUCUUGCAUAUUCCAAUUCGUUGAACGAAUUCUCGAAAUAUUCAAGAUAAUUAGGAAGAUCAAAACUCAUUAUAUAAGAUUAUAUAAAGAUUCGCGUGCCCUUUUCUCGCAAUCAAAUCACACGCAUAUGGAAGAGUUACUGACUGACCACGCCCCAUUGGGAAUGAACCGAUAUAUCACGAUAUAAAAAAUGCUCAAGUAUUAUAAAUAAUGAAUUUUUGAUAUUUCCAUUUUAAGAAAUGUUCACCGUUCCUCGAUUUCAUAACGGUCUAAAUAUUAUGCGUAGUUAAUCCAAAUGAAGUAUGGUAUCCAAAUUGUGCCGUUCAAUUCUCGCGCAUUUCCUCUCUCGCGUUAUUACUGACGCCUGUGAACGUGAAGAACAAACAACGGAUUAUUGUGAUAUGCAUUUUCCGUUGAUAUGAGUAUUAAAAGCUACGUGUAUGAUCCGGGAGAAAAAACAAA